rnacentral:lncRNA from 1 species
ACAAAAUUCCUAAUCUUAGUUACUUUAGGCAAAAGUGAAUUGUUGCAAUUCCAUGAAAUUACACUUUGCACCCUUGCUAAGACGUUAGUGGAGCGUGUGUCGUUAACCGACACACUAAAUGGGUUCUAAGCAAAGGUAGCGAUGGUGACUCGAUGUUUGUCAUAGUCCGGUGGAGAGUGUGUGGUUAACCGGCACAUCAAAUAUGUGACUGUAACAUUGGGGGCACCACGUAUAUUUGCAUGGUUAUUCACACCCUGUUUUGUGAUCCUCGGCAUCCCAGUCACAAAACGAGGGGCAUAUCGAGAUUUAAACAUGCCAUUGAAAAGUUCAAUGAAUCUCAAAGGAUCUAGGAGUUUUCAAUACAUUUAAAACAUAAUCUCUUUUUGUUUUUCAUGGUGUAAAAUUAGUGAAUCGUCAUUCACCUACCUUCAAAUGUUCUACAAUUUGGGUUACGGCAUCCCUCUCCCAAGUUGUAGAGUAUUGUGUUGGGUCCUAGCCUUAAUAUCUCAUUUGGGUGACAACUAUGGUCUUCCCAAAUCCCAUGGAACAAGCCUUUCACAUGAAGAUGAUAUUCCAUGAUUCGAUCGAGGAACACGAGAUCAUGCUUCACUUCUUCCACCUCCUCNUCCACGAUUCGAUCAAGGAACAAGAUAUCAUGCUUCACUUCCUCCACCUCCUCCUAUUGUUCUCCCUAACCCACAAGUUCAAAGGCUUGAAAAGUUCAAGCUCACUCAAG